UACGUAGGGUGCAAGCGUUGUCCGGAAUUAUUGGGCGUAAAGAGCUCGUAGGCGGUUUGUUGCGUCGGCUGUGAAAGCCCGGGGCUUAACCCCGGGUCUGCAUUCGAUACGGGCUAGCUAGAGUGUGGUAGGGGAGAUCGGAAUUCCUGGUGUAGCGGUGAAAUGCGCAGAUAUCAGGAGGAACACCGGUGGCGAAGGCGGCUUCCUGGACUGACACUGACGCUGAGGCGCGAAAGCUAGGGGAGCAAACGGG
rnacentral:rRNA from 1 species